GCGCAACCUGGCCGUCCGCCCCGUGCGGCCGCGGUGGACCACGACGAGGCUCCCGAAACGGACGACGACAUGGUCACAUGGAUCCGGCCUGGGAUCCUGGGAUCCCCAGCGAGAGAGAAGCCUCUCGCGCUCCCGGGCAGAGCAGGAGAGAAUAGGGAGGCAGAGAGCCAGGCAGGGCCGCGCGAGCGGAGCACCGGAAAGGCAAGGGCGCAAGGCAGGGGGCGGCCGAAUCCGAGGGUACACGCGCGCGCGGCUGCGCUUUUCCUCAAAAGGAGGACGGGAGCGAGGACGCGACGGCAGCAGGCGCGCGGAGACGACGAGAAAGAAAAC
rnacentral:lncRNA from 1 species